rnacentral:rRNA from 1 species
CGUAGGGGGCAAGCGUUGUCCGGAAUUAUUGGGCGUAAAGAGCGCGCAGGCGGGUCUGUCAGUCUACCGUGAAAGCUUACGGCUCAACCGUAACGGGUCGGUGGAUACUGCAGAUCUUGAGGGCAGGAGAGGAAAGUGGAAUUCCCAGUGUAGCGGUGAAAUGCGUAGAUAUUGGGAGGAACACCAGUGGCGAAGGCGACUUUCUGGACUGUUACUGACGCUGAGGCGCGAAAGCUGGGGGAGUGAACGGGAUUAGAUACCCCGGUAAUCCCAGCCGUAAACGAUGGGUACUAGGUGUAGGAGGUAUCGACCCCUUCUGUGCCGGAGUUAACGCAAUAAGUACCCCGCCUGGGGAGUACGGUCGCAAGGCUG